UUCGGGCGCGGUGGCGCGUUUCCUGUAGUCCAGCUACUCAGGAGGCUGAGGUGGGAGGAUCGCUUGAGCCAGGAGUUCUGGGCUGUAGCGUGCUAUGCCAAUCGGGUGUCCGCACCAAGUUCAGCAUCAAUAUGGUGACCUCCUGGGAGCGGGGCACCACCAGGUUGCCUAAGGAGGGGUGAUCCAGCGCAGGUCAGAAACAAAGCGAGUCAAAACUCCUGUCCUGAUCAGUAGUGGGAUCGCGUCUGUGAAUAGCCACUGCACUCCAGCCUGAGAAACAUAGCAGACCAC
rnacentral:SRP_RNA from 1 species